rnacentral:rRNA from 1 species
AUGACAGGAUCCAACUCGAGUGUACAUGGACAUCAACAUGUGGAAGAUGAUCUCCCAAAAACUCGCGCAACACUUGGUGAUAUGAUUGAGAGUAUAGUUGUAGCUAUGCGAAGGAUGUUCGGUGGUCGCCUUCCUAUCGCGAGUAAUGGGGAUCAACAUAAACAUAGCCCCGCUGCCUCACUGGCUGCCGACAACCGGUAG